rnacentral:rRNA from 1 species
AUACGGAGGGUGGAAGCGUUACUCGGAAUCACUGGGCGUAAAGCGCGCGCAGGCGGCUAUUUAAGUUGGAUGUGAAAGCCUACGGCUCAACCGUAGAACUGCAUCCAAAACUAUUUAGCUAGAGUGUGGGAGAGGAAGAUGGAAUUAGUUGUGUAGGGGUAAAAUCCGUAGAGAUAACUAGGAAUACCAAAAGCGAAGGCAAUCUUCUGGAACACUACUGACGCUGAGGCGCGAAAGCGUGGGGAGCAAACAGGAUUAGAAACCCUAGUAGUCC